UGCCUUGAUGAUAAUGGACUGAACCUCUGAACCUCUGCCUGGAAGCCAGUCUUCUCCAAGCAGCCUUCAGAUGAAGAUGUAGAACUCUCAGCUUCUCCUGUACCGUGCCUGUCCAGAUGCUGCCAUGGCUCCCACCUUGAUGAUAAUGGACUGAAUCUGAGCACUAGGAGAGUUUAAUAUCUUCCCAGGUGGCAGAUGGUGGCUUGCUGGUCAUGGAGGCAAGGACCAAGUACCUGUCAGGUCCACAGCUCAGUGGCAGCUUUCAAAGAAUCCCCAGAGUUGGAAGCAACCUCAGUCCCUGAAAAAGCAUUUUCCUGAGAGCAGCAUCCCGUGCGGUCUACAGGUUCUCAGUGAGACUGACAUUGCUGUGGGAUCUAGAGACAUCUCUGUGUUCAAAGAUGCAAUAGGAGUCAAGUAUGGUAACCAGUUCAUCCAUGGCUGCUGGACAGCUACAGAAGGGGAAGGGGAAGGGAAGGGAAAAGGGGAAAAGGAGAAGGAGAAGAAGAGAUAGACAGAAAGGAAAGAGGCUUUCAAUAAACACAAUUGUGGCAUAAUACAGUA